CUAAACCUGUAUCACAGCAGCUACCUGAGCCACAGCAGUGACAAUGCCAGAUCCUUAACCUUCUGAGCCACAAGAGGACUGCUAAUGCUGAGAAUUUCUUUUUAGGUGCCUUUCUCCCUGGAUAUGUACUUAAUCUGCCUCUCUAGGUGUCCAAAACGGCCAUCCACCUGCAUGUGUUCUUAUCAACACCUCACUUGUAGGAACUCAUGCAGCACCUGCCUCCACUCCCCACUCAAGAUGACACUUGGGUGCAGAGACAUAACUUACCUUCACUAAGCUGUGUCUGAAGAUGCAAGUGCUGAAGAUCCCAGUCUCCUCCUGGGCUUUGCUCGGAUGUCACCUGCCUUAUCAGGCCUCUGAACCUACUGAACUUGUAGCUGCUGAGGUACGCCUGGUCCAACUUGAGUUUUAGACAUUGCGAUAAUAUCAGCUGCAGAAAUCCACAACCUCUGGCAUUGUCCCCACCUUCUGAAACCUCCUCAUUCUGAGCCCAGGAGCCUUUUCAGUCUCCUGGUUUCCCAGCUCUGCUCUGAGGUCUUCGGAGCUUCUGGAAUCUUCAUGCCAUGUGCAGGCUUCAGGCACCUGGUAUCCAGCAUCAGACUCAUACAUUUAGAUCCAACCUCUGCCAGGGUCAACCUACUGUUCUUGUGUCAUAUUGGAUGUGAUGAUAUAAUGAACUUCCCCUAAAUAAUACCCCAAGAAACAAGGGAUCUGCCUCAAUACUCCCAGACAAAACUAUCUGCCACAAAAUUACCAGGCUUUUCUACGCCCUAUCUCAACCUGAAGAGUAAGUUCAACAGUUAUAACUCAACCCUUGCCCAUCACCUCCUCUUUCUGGAGUGCCCUCCCUAGUGCUGGAGUGGGUUUCUCGUUUUCUUUCCUGACUCAUAGGAUUUACUUACAUCAGUGCUUCUCCAAUGUUGGUGUGGUUAUAAAUCUGCUGGAGAUGCUAUUAAAUGCAGGUUCUGACUCAAUAGUGAUAAAAUGGGGCCUGAGAAUCUUCAUUUCUUACAAGCUCCCAGGUGGUACCAACCAGGCUGGCCAACCACUACUCUUUCAGAACUCAGGCUGAUCAGUCCUCAUUCACUGGAUUGUAUUUGCUUCUCUUAACUCCACUUUACUGGAUGAUCAGAACAGAGAUGGUGUAGGGAAGGAAAACAGAUGAGCAGUGAGAAAAGGUAUUGGGGUGUUCCACAAAUAUUAUCUCAGUCACACCCAUCAUCACCACGUUUUCUCUCCCACUGGAACCCCACUGAUUCUCUGAGGGUCUUUCUAU
rnacentral:lncRNA from 1 species